UGAUGACAAUUUCUCCGGAAUCUCUGUACCUCUUUGAUGAAUACCGUUGAACCCUUUUUUGCUGAUGACUGUGGACUGCUCC